ACCAGUGAUUGAGCACCUGGUGGGAAGGCAGGGCCAGUCCAGAGUUCAGGUGCAUGCAAUUCUCCUGAGUGAUGGAAGGGGUGCAGCCAGGAUCCACCCCUUCGCAGACCUCAUUUAAGGGUUGGCAGUGCAGGUAAGGGUAUCUUGCUGGAGAUCCUUGUGUACCUGAGGCCUUCUAAGGGAUUGAAAGCUCUAUUGCAUAUUUCUCUGGGCUGUGAGUAACCCUGAACGCAAAAGAGCCAGGAAUAACUCCUUUGCUUCGCUGUCAGGCUUGAUGCUGUCACUACUUUUAUCUUGUUGGUAACAAGGGCGACAGAAAGAACUGAGCUGGGCAACUGGUGGCAGGGAGAGAAGCAGCAUCUGAAAGGCUCUCGUGACUCAGGUGUGUCCAGCAGCAUGUGCCACGGGUCCCUGCUGUCUCCGGGCAGAGACUGCUCCUCCUGCCCAGCAGUGCCACUGCUCAGUGCUUCAGCAGAAAUGAGCUCUUCAGUGCCCAAAGCUGCUGUGGGCAGGAUGGAAGUGCCUUACUGCACUCUUAUCCUUAAAGGUUGCAGGCACUCGUGUCAGUUAAGCACUCACAAUGAGCUGCUAUAUGUGCCCAGGGCUACCACUAUCUCAAAGGGCAUCUCCAAGCUGUAGUUGUAUGUAACAUAAAAAGCUUUGUGUCUGUAACCUCUACAGCAUGAGAUGUUAUGUUCACUCCCACUUUUCAAGGAGAGUAUCCUGCUCACCAGGCUGUCCCUGACUAACUGCCCCUUUAGCAUCUUGGUUACUGCAUAGAUCUUGGCUGGGUGCUGCAGCCAAUGGCAUAAGAAUGUGGACUCCUACUUCACGCACUGAAACAAAGGGAAGAACUAAUUAAUUGCAGUGGAAAAAAAAGUUUUUUUUUGCCUGUGUAAUCUUUCAUAAAGAUGAGCUCCCACACACUUAUGAAAGCAUCUGCACAACACUGAACUUAACCUUUGUACCUUCACCUUGAAAAAGGAAUGAAUGUAAUUCAUACUUAUUGAACAAUUCCAAUCCUCAUUUACUUAUCCCACAAAUGAGAUCUUACUGAAUGCUUACAGAAAGACUUACAGAAGAAGUAAAGCAGAACAAAAGUUCCUUUUGUAGCUUAACUAUAUUAACUUGAAAAGUGUCUUGCUUUGCGAAAGAGAAGAAAUUUUCUGCUAAUACCAUUUGCAGAGAACUGAAACCUCUCCCUUCUCUCAGAAGGCUCUGUCAGUCCAGAUGGGAGUUGUCCCCAUUCUGCUGCACUGAGGCUGAUAUUCAGCAGAAAACACAGAUCAGUGAGGCUCUCCUUUCUAUUAGAAAAGUGUUCAGAAAGAGCUGAUGAAAACAGCUUUCCCUACUUGUGCUGUAACCUUGUUUUCCCUCUAAAUAUCUCUGUAAACCACCACUUCAGCUGAAGCCUUCAUUUUAGCUUCUGUAAUACAGACAAGCCUUUGGGAACUAAUCUUUCCUGGAAAAUGAAGUCAGUACAUCAAGUCAGCUGUUAAUUUUGCAAAGGUGCUGUCUCAGAUAAGGGUGUGCAUGAGCUACACGUUUCACUUAUUUAUCUACCACAUUCUAUACAGCCUAGCUCCAAAGUAUUUGGAGUACUCUUAGCUCAUCAACUGGAAAACUGAUAUAUGAAAGCAAGAUUAAUUUUUAUUAGCUUGAAGUAUCAUUUUAUUCAACUGAUAAGUAUCAAUACAUUAUGCAUCUGCCAGUUAUAGUCCAUUUUAAUUGGUUCCAAAACCUAAGCAGUAGAUGGGAAGACAAUUUGUCUAGUUAAUCUGAAAACAAUAUUCCACACAAUCAGUACUGGAGUUGUCAACCGUAUAGUAAUUCCAGCAUUAAGUUAUGGCUUUGCAGAAAGUCAUGAAGUUAAAUUAGAACACAUCAAGAGCCAUUUUCCAAAGAUUUAUUGAAGUAGCGACAGGUUGCUCAUACUGUGCUGGAAAAAGCAGUUUUAUUAAAUUCAGAUACUUAAAAACAGUAUUGCAGCACAAGAUAUUGCUAUUUGUAAACUAGACUCCAUUGUAAACUCUAAUCCUUCAGGGAGAGUCAGUUUGCAAGAUCUAAGACCUAUUUCCUAGCAUAAUAAUCUUGCGCUCAUGGAAAAACUG